rnacentral:tRNA from 1 species
GGCAGUGUGGUGCAAUGGUUUGAGUGCUGGACUAGGACUCUGCAGACCAGGGUUCAAAUUUCUGUUCAGCCA